UACGAAGGGGACUAGCGUUGUUCGGAAUCACUGGGCGUAAAGCGCACGUAGGCGGAUGUGUCAGUCAGGGGUGAAAUCCCGGGGCUCAACCUCGGAACUGCCUUUGAUACAGCACGUCUCGAGUCCGGAAGAGGUGGGUGGAAUUCCUAGUGUAGAGGUGAAAUUCGUAGAUAUUAGGAAGAACACCGGUGGCGAAGGCGGCCCACUGGUCCGGUACUGACGCUGAGGUGCGAAAGCGUGGGGAGCAAACGGG
rnacentral:rRNA from 1 species